AAAUUGAAGAGUUUGAUCAUGGCUCAGAUUGAACGCUGGCGGCAGGCCUAACACAUGCAAGUCGAACGGUAACAGGAAGCAGCUUGCUGCUUUGCUGACGAGUGGCGGACGGGUGAGUAAUGUCUGGGAAACUGCCUGAUGGAGGGGGAUAACUACUGGAAACGGUGGCUAAUACCGCAUAACGUCGCAAGACCAAAGAGGGGGACCUUCGGGCCUCUUGCCAUCAGAUGUGCCCAGAUGGGAUUAGCUUGUUGGUGAGGUAACGGCUCACCAAGGCGACGAUCCCUAGCUGGUCUGAGAGGAUGACCAGCCACACUGGAACUGAGACACGGUCCAGACUCCUACGGGAGGCAGCAGUGGGGAAUAUUGCACAAUGGGCGCAAGCCUGAUGCAGCCAUGCCGCGUGUAUGAAGAAGGCCUUCGGGUUGUAAAGUACUUUCAGCGGGGAGGAAGGUGUUGUGGUUAAUAACCGCAGCAAUUGACGUUACCCGCAGAAGAAGCACCGGCUAACUCCGUGCCAGCAGCCGCGGUAAUACGGAGGGUGCAAGCGUUAAUCGGAAUUACUGGGCGUAAAGCGCACGCAGGCGGUCUGUCAAGUCGGAUGUGAAAUCCCCGGGCUCAACCUGGGAACUGCAUUCGAAACUGGCAGGCUUGAGUCUUGUAGAGGGGGGUGGAAUUCCAGGUGUAGCGGUGAAAUGCGUAGAGAUCUGGAGGAAUACCGGUGGCGAAGGCGGCCCCCUGGACAAAGACUGACGCUCAGGUGCGAAAGCGUGGGGAGCAAACAGGAUUAGAUACCCUGGUAGUCCACGCCGUAAACGAUGUCUACUUGGAGGUUGUGCCCUUGAGGCGUGGCUUCCGGAGCUAACGCGUUAAGUAGACCGCCUGGGGAGUACGGCCGCAAGGUUAAAACUCAAAUGAAUUGACGGGGCCCGCACAAGCGGUGGAGCAUGUGGUUUAAUUCGAUGCAACGCGAAGAACCUUACCUGGUCUUGACAUCCACGGAAGUUUUCAGAGAUGAGAAUGUGCCUUCGGGAGCCGUGAGACAGGUGCUGCAUGGCUGUCGUCAGCUCGUGUUGUGAAAUGUUGGGUUAAGUCCCGCAACGAGCGCAACCCUUAUCCUUUGUUGCCAGCGGUCCGGCCGGGAACUCAAAGGAGACUGCCAGUGAUAAACUGGAGGAAGGUGGGGAUGACGUCAAGUCAUCAUGGCCCUUACGACCAGGGCUACACACGUGCUACAAUGGCGCAUACAAAGAGAAGCGACCUCGCGAGAGCAAGCGGACCUCAUAAAGUGCGUCGUAGUCCGGAUUGGAGUCUGCAACUCGACUCCAUGAAGUCGGAAUCGCUAGUAAUCGUGGAUCAGAAUGCCACGGUGAAUACGUUCCCGGGCCUUGUACACACCGCCCGUCACACCAUGGGAGUGGGUUGCAAAAGAAGUAGGUAGCUUAACCUUCGGGAGGGCGCUUACCACUUUGUGAUUCAUGACUGGGGUGAAGUCGUAACAAGGUAACCGUAGGGGAACCUGCGGUUGGAUCACCUCCUUA
rnacentral:rRNA from 1 species